UUGACGCGAUACGUAUUAUGUGAACCAUUUACUUUUAAAUAUAUGCUACCUCAACCGUAACAAGAAUAAUAUUUUGGCUAACAUGCCAAAUAAUGGUAAAUACAACGCUCUGUCAGGUAAUAUUUCAAAUAUUCAAUGUUAUCUUCUUCAUGAAUAACAUCUUCAUUUUUAGAAUUAUCUAUAUAUAAAGACCAGUCAGUCAUAUGCUAUCUUCACCGUAAGAAGAAUUAUAUUUUGGCCAACCUGCCAAAUAAUGGUAAAUACAACGUUCUGUCAGAAUUAUCUAUAUAUAAAGACCAGUCAGUCAUAUGCUACCGUCACCGUAAGAAGAAUUAUAUUUUGGCUAACAUGCCAAAUAAUGGUAAAUACAACGUUCUGUCAGAAUUAUCUAUAUAUAACGACCAGUCGGUCAUAUGCUAUCUUCACCGUAAGAAGAAUUAUAUUUUGGCCAACAUGCCAAAUAAUGGUAAAUACAACGUUC